AGUCAGAUGUGAAAUCCCCGGGCUUAACCUGGGAACUGCGUUUGAAACUGCAAGGCUAGAGUGUGGCAGAGGGGGGUGGAAUUUCCGCGUGUAGCAGUGAAAUGCGUAGAGAUGUGGAGGAACACCGAUGGCGAAGGCAGCCCCCUGGGUCAACACUGACGCUCAGGCACGAAAGCAUGGGGAGCAAACAGGAUUAGAUACCCUGGUAGUCCAUGCCCUAAACGAUGUCAACUAGUUGUCGGGUCUUAACGGACUUGGUAACGUAGCUAACGCGUGAAGUUGACCGCCUGGGGAGUACGAUCGCAAGAUUAAAACUCAAAGGAAUUGACGGGGACCCGCACAAGCGGUGGAUUAUGUGGAUUAAUUCGAUGCAACGCGAAAAACCUUACCUACCCUUGACAUGUAUUGAAACCCGCAGAGAUGUGGGUGUGCCCGAAAGGGAACGAUAACACAGGUGCUGCAUGGCUGUCGUCAGCUCGUGUCGUGAGAUGUUGGGUUAAGUCCCGCAACGAGCGCAACCCUUGUCAUUAGUUGCCAUCAUUUAGUUGGGCACUUUAAUGAGACUGCCGGUGACAAACCGGAGGAAGGUGGGGAUGACGUCAAGUCCUCAUGGCCCUUAUGGGUAGGGCUUCACACGUAAUACAAUGGCGCGUACAGAGGGUUGCCAACCCGCAAGGGGGAGCUAAUCUCAGAAAGCGCGUCGUAGUCCGGAUCGGAGUCUGCAACUCGACUCCGUGAAGUCGGAAUCGCUAGUAAUCGCGGAUCAGCAUGUCGCGGUGAAUACGUUCCCGGGUCUUGUACACACCGCCCGUCACACCAUGGGAGUGGGUUCCACCAGAAGCAGGUAGUCUAACCGCAAGGAGGGCGCUUGCCACGGUGAGAUUCAUGACUGGGGUGAAGUCGUAACAAGG
rnacentral:rRNA from 1 species